rnacentral:rRNA from 1 species
GACGAACGCUGGCGGCGUGCCUAAUACAUGCAAGUAGGACGCAGUUGCGAACGGGUGAGUAACGCGUAGGUAACUACCUAUUAGAGGGGGAUAACUAUUGGAAACGAUAGCUAAUACCGCAUACUAGUAGAUGGACCUUCGUUGUAUUAGCUAGUAGGUAGGGGAAUGGCCUACCUAGGCAACGAUACAUAGCCGGGCUGGGAGGGUGAUCGGCCAAACUGGGAAUGGUACAAGGCCCAGAAUCCCAAGGGAGGGAGCAAUAGGGAAACUUCGGACAUGGGGGGAAACCUGAACGAGCAACGCCGCGGGAGUGAAGAAGGUUUUCGGAUCGUAAAGCUCUGUUGUGAAGGAAGCGGUACUUAACCAGAAAGGGACGGCUAACUACGUGCCAGCAGCCGCGGUAAUUC